rnacentral:lncRNA from 1 species
AAAAAAACUGAUUUUUCUCUCAAAAUCCCCUCCCCUCUCCAAAAAUCCGGCCAAGGGUCCGGUGAAGCUCCGCCGUCGCUCCGGCCACAGCGUGCGAUGGCCGAAAAAUUCAAAAAGGUAAAGAAUCACUUUUUUUUGUAUUUUCCGUAAAUAUGAACUAUUAUAUAUAUGUAUAUAUAUGAUUGAAAAAAAAUAAAGAAAAAACGAACUCGAAAACAAGAAUAAAAAGGAAGAACACCUUUUUUUUUUUAAAUUUUUGCGAUUCUUGUAUUGAUUUCUCAAUAUAUUUUUUUCUUUACAUUUGUUCUCCCCCCCUUUACAAUGGUUUCAGUCGGUUUUUAUACCGAAAAUAAAAAAACAAAGAGCUCCCCCCCUCAAUAUACAGUUUUAGUAUUCGGCUUAUAUAACCGAUUACAAAGUGUUUUUUCUUUUCUUUUUUCACUGCCUCUACUGCUCUUGGUUGUUGUUUUCAUAUUUCUUGCAGGUAUCUUUUUCAGCCUUCUUUUGCAGACGAUGGUGGUCAACGGAGGCAAGGAUUUGCCAUUUUGGUGCAAGUAGGAGCUGUCUCGGGCGACGAGUGCGCUGGAGGCACAUGGGCAGCGGCGCAAUGGAGCUAGGGUUAGGGUUUCAAUUUUGUUUUACUGAAACUAGUUAAUGUUUUGGGCUUAUCGGCCCUGGGUAAAGGGUUUGUAAUUUAAGUUUUAGUUUGGGCUGGGAUUAAUUUAUGUUAUUAAUAAGGUCUGUACAUAUUUAAUUAGUAAUAAGUUUGCACCAAUAAUCGAAGGACAGCUUGGAAAGAAACAAAAAAGUGGGCAGCUAUAGGCUAUAGUAAUUAAAUAAAAUA